GCGCGGUAAUUCCAGCUCCAAUAGCGUAUACUAAAGUUGUUGCAGUUAAAAAGCUCGUAGUUGAAUUUCUGGUCUUGGAUUUCGGUCUGCCUCAAACGAGGUAUGUACCAGGGAUCUGAGACCAUCCUCGAGGAAAACAUAUCUGUCAUUAAGUUAAUGGGUAUGGGAUCCUCGUCAUUUACUGUGAGCAAAAUAGGGUGUUCAAAGCAGGCUUAUGCCGUUGAAUACAUUAGCAUGGAAUAAUAAGAUAAGACCUUGGUCUAUUUUGUUGGUUUGUACUCCAAGGUAAUGAUUAAUAGGGAUAGUUGGGGGUAUUCGUAUUCAAUUGUCAGAGGUGAAAUUCUUGGAUUUAUGGAAGACGAACUACUGCGAAAGCAUUUACCAAGGGAUGUUUUCAUUAAUCAAGAACGAAAGUUAGGGGAUCGAAGAUGAUUAGAUACCAUCGUAGUCUUAACCAUGGAACUAUGCCGGCUAGGGGAUUGGUGGGACGUUUGUAACGACUUCAUCAGCACCUUAUGAGAAAUCAGAGUC
rnacentral:rRNA from 1 species